AAGCAUUAUCUCCCAGUCUGCAUCCUCCAUCAACCCCUCAGCGUGCCCUCCCUUCGCCCUCACCGGUGCUCCUGACUCCCACGGCCAUCUCUCAAACCUCUUCUCACGCCAAAGCUGUCGAACGUCUCGAGCAAGUCAAGCCCCUCCGUCGUUAUUCCUGACCAUGCUUCCCCGCCAUCUGCCUUCCUUCUCUGCCUCUAGAGCCUCCGUUUGCCAAGUCCAGUAGAAUCCUACAGAUAUGCCCUCCCUCAGCUUUCCACAAUGUUAGACAUGAGUGUCUCACCCUUCCUUUACUGAAUGUCCCUUUUUGGCUCCUGAGAACAUUUUUCUCGGUUUUCAUGCUAAUGAAACUCUUCCUUUCCUUCCUCCACUACGUCGUCUCCCAAUCAGUUUGAAAGUUCCCUCAAACAUCCUGCAACAUUCCUUCCACCCCUCUCGCAGGGCAGUGCUUCUCCAACUCGAAUGGGCAUGUGACUUACCUUGGAAUCCUACUAAAAAGCAGAUUCUGAUGCCACAGGUCUGCAAUGGAGCCUGAGAGCCCGCAUUUCUAAUGAGCUCCACAGGAGGCUGACGCUGCUCAUCCAGUGACACGCUAAGGAAGUGAAAUUAUGUGAGAGGGAGAGAGUCCUGCCGAAUCCUCAGGCUGGAAGUUGUCUGAAACGGGAUGGUUUUCCCAGAAGAUGUGUUGAUCACUGAGCAACAAGGAGAUUCAGCUGCUCUCAAUUCCAAAUGAACCAAACUUACACCCCGGCACACGUGAUUGUCCACAUACAUCCGCUGCCUUUCCUCAUUGACUGUGCCCUUCAACCAACGUUUGAUUUCAGAUUCGUGUUCCCUGGCCCAUUCAGCUGAGCCAGUCAUUCCACCUUUAGGGGAUGUUGAUGAUCCCCCAGGAAGAUAACCAUCACGGUCCUGCCACAGCCCACAGCUUUGAGAGGCUGGUUUCUUUCCUCCUUUCCUCCUGUGUGUUAGAAAGAUUUCUCCCACAGUAGGAGAAUUCAUUCAGUAGCAUAUUUGGUCCUGGUGAUUACGAGAUGCCUCAGCUGCACUCUGUUAUUCAAUCACCAACAGGAAAAGGCCAUUUAUUGCUCCCGGUGGUUCAGCAGUGGAUGGACGUUGGAUUUCAAACCUUCCAUGAGUUCACUAAAACUCUGCUCCACAGCAAAUAAAGCGGCAUUAGAACACAAUAUUUGGGAGCAGUUUUUUGACGAAAGGCCUUAGCUACUGAGGAUACUAUUUCAGGCAACCAGAAAAUAAAGACUGAAUUAUAAAGCAAUUUGUGUCAAGAUGCAAGUACUAGCUACCGAAACCUCAAAUGAAUGUUAUAUUAUCACCAUUAUUGAGAUGAAUCAAAAUUAAUACACAGUGAAACAUUUGUCUAAAGAUGGAAAGAAUUUGUGGGUUUACUAUCACGACACCCAACAGUAGACAUUAGCAUUGGUCAAAUACUAAACGCAAAUAUUCAGAUAAGUAAGUCUGAAGAGGAUAGGAAACAGAUUUUCCUUUUGAGUUCAUCGAGCAAAACCUGACACCUCUUGGAGUUAUCUGAUUGAGAAUGAUUAAUUGAAGACGGAGAUGAAGUCAGACUUGAUCUUACAGUAAUGGACGGAACACUUCUCCAUUUUGUCCUCAUAUUCCAAGCAAUUCAUCCUUGGAGGGGUCCCAGGCUCGGGAGAGGCAGUGUUGAAAACACAUGAUUAAUGGUCCUUCUAAAAUAGAAAAUUGAAUGAGGACUCAGUUAUUUCAUUUGCAAAAGCUAAUUGAAGCACAUAUUUAUGAAAUCAGACAUGGAGACGUGAACCACCACCACCCACUCAACCACAACGAGGAUGAUUUUUUUAUUUAUGAGACAGGAUAAAAGGAGAGAAAUUAACAUGCAUGUGGUAAUUCCUCCACCUUCCUUCUCCAUCCUGCUGCGCCUCUUAAGGAGGAGUCUGGGUCUUUUGUGAUGUUAGAGGAGAUAAUGGGCAGAGCUGAAAAUCUCGGAGAGUU
ensembl:lncRNA